GAUGGGCAAUGCCGCGUGAGAAGAAGGGUUUCGGCUCGUAAAACUCUGUUGUUAAAGAAGAACACCUUUGAGAGUAACUGUUCAAGGGUUGACGGUAUUUAACCAGAAAGCCACGGCUAACUACGUGCCAGCAGCCGCGGUAAUACGUAGGUGGCAAGCGUUGUCCGGAUUUAUUGGGCGUAAAGCGAGCGCAGGCGGUUUUUAAGUCUGAUGUGAAAGCCUUCGGCUUAACCGGAGAAGUGCAUCGGAAACUGGGAGACUUGAGUGCAGAAGAGGACAGUGGAACUCCAUGUGUAGCGGUGGAAUGCGUAGAUAUAUGGAAGAACACCAGUGGCGAAGGCGGCUGUCUAGUCUGUAACUGACGCUGAGGCUCGAAAGCAUGGGUAGCGAACAGGAUUAGAUACCCUGGUAGUCCAUGCCGUAAACGAUGAGUGCUAAGUGUUGGAGGGUUUCCGCCCUUCAGUGCUGCAGCUAACGCAUUAAGCACUCCGCCUGGGGAGUACGACCGCAAGGUUGAAACUCAAAGGAAUUGACGGGGGCCCGCACAAGCGGUGGAGCAUGUGGUUUAAUUCGAAGCUACGCGAAGAACCUUACCAGGUCUUGACAUCUUCUGCCAAUCUUAGAGAUAAGACGUUCCCUUCGGGGACAGAAUGACAGGUGGUGCAUGGUUGUCGUCAGCUCGUGUCGUGAGAUGUUGGGUUAAGUCCCGCAACGAGCGCAACCCUUAUUAUCAGUUGCCAGCAUUCAGUUGGGCACUCUGGUGAGACUGCCGGUGACAAACCGGAGGAAGGUGGGGAUGACGUCAAAUCAUCAUGCCCCUUAUGACCUGGGCUACACACGUGCUACAAUGGACGGUACAACGAGUUGCGAAGUCGUGAGGCUAAGCUAAUCUCUUAAAGCCGUUCUCAGUUCGGAUUGUAGGCUGCAACUCGCCUACAUGAAGUUGGAAUCGCUAGUAAUCGCGGAUCAGCAUGCCGCGGUGAAUACGUUCCCGGGCCUUGUACACACCGCCCGUCACACCAUGAGAGUUUGUAACACCCAAAGCCGGUGAGAUAACCUUCGGGAGUCAGCCGUCUAAGGUGGGACAGAUGAUUAGGGGAGUCGUA
rnacentral:rRNA from 2 species